AAUCAAGCGUUUAAGGGCGUGUGGCGGAUGCCUUGGCACUGAAAGCCGAUGAAGGACGUGGUAUACUGCGAUAAGUUACGGGGAGCUGUAUGCAAGUUUUGAUCCGUAAAUUUCCGAAUGGGGAAACCCACCACUUUAUGUGGUACUUUAAACUGAAUACAUAGGUUUAAAGAGACAACCUGGAGAACUGAAACAUCUAAGUAACCAGAGGAAAAGAAAUCAAUUGAGAUUCCGUUAGUAGUGGCGAGCGAAAGCGGACUAGGCCAGUAGAUUUGUUAAAAAAAUUUGAAUAGUUUGGAAAAACUAACCACAGAGGGUGAUAGUCCCGUAUGAGUAAUGUUUAACAAAUUUCUUGAGUAAAGCGGGACACGUGAAAUCCUGCUCGAAUAUAGGGGGACCACCCUCUAAGCCUAAAUACUCUUCAGUGACCGAUAGUGAACUAGUACCGUGAGGGAAAGGUGAAAAGAACCCCUAUUAGGGGAGUGAAAUAGAACCUGAAACCGCAUGCCUACAAUCAGUCGAAGCUCUUUUUAGAGUGACGGCGUACCUUUUGUAUAAUGGGUCAGUGA
rnacentral:rRNA from 1 species